AUUAAAUUCAGUGACUGUGCAAUGUGCACAGAUCAGGCCUGCAUAUGGGUCUUUUUGGAUACCUAUUUUGUGAGAUCCAAGGAAUCUGAGAUGGGAGAUAUGUUCAUAUCAGAUGUUCAGUUCAAGCAAGAAAAGAGUACCUCCAGCCAUUUGGGACAGCAUGAUGUUUGGCUCCCAAAUAAGUCUUCUGGAUAAGGCUAGGUACAGACAGAUUCCAGGCAUCAGAGGAGGGGAGGGAGUGCAAGUCUCCUCAGCUGCAGCCUCAUUUACCUCCAGUGAUGCUAGUACGAAUCAGGCUUUUUAACUCCUCUAGAAGGAACUUAUUUACAACAGUACAAAACCAGUACAACUGAAAAAAGGGCAGAAGUCCCACUCAGCUCACUCCUUAACUGAGGCAGAGCAUAUUCUUACGACGCUUGCUGAAACCUUUGUUCCCAUUACCAUUUGCAAUUGACCUCUGUGCAAGCAGACUCAGCUUGGAACACCAGAUAUGUUCAGUCCAUGAGUCGGAUCUUGUACAAAAUGAGGGGCCUAAAAUCACUAGGGACAAAGUCUUUCUUUCAAUUGCAGUACAUUUAGAGAUCUUACUUACACCCCUUCCAUCCACAGACAAAAACUCACGUGAUCUUCCACUUGGAUUCAUGCAGCUGGAGAUAAGGAUAAAAUUAGUACUGUGAAUUCACCUGGGCUAGUAAAGUGAGUUCAAGGGACAAUGUGGAAAUUUGAUUACAUAUUAUAUCUACUUACCAAUCUAUUAUGUAUAUAUCUAUUUCACUGCUG
rnacentral:lncRNA from 7 species